rnacentral:rRNA from 1 species
UACGUAGGGGGCAAGCGUUGUCCGGAAUCAUUGGGCGUAAAGCGCGUGUAGGCGGUUCGGUAAGUCCGCUGUGAAAGUCGGGGGGUCAACCCUCGGAUGCCGGUGGAUACUGUCGGGCUUGAGUACGGAAGAGGCGAGUGGAAUUCCUGGUGUAGCGGUGAAAUGCGCAGAUAUCAGGAGGAACACCAAUUGCGAAGGCAGCUCGCUGGGACGUUACUGACGCUGGAGACGCGAAAGCGUGGGGAGCAAACGGAUUAG